AUAAGCACUGCCCUUUUUGGUUCAAGUAAGACCGAUACGCAUUUGCAGGUGAAGUGGGUACCCAAGAUAAAGUAUCCUGACGGCGAAGCACUCCUCCAUGAUUCCUUGCUAGUGGUUGCGGCUGUAUCAUCCUCUCUGAAAUGAGAUGCCAUAUUAUCGGUUGGGAUCAUCUUUUCUACAUCAUCCCAAUCAUUUUUCAAUGCCGCUGUUUGGUAAUGUGGUCAGGUGCGCGCAAUGCAGUGCAAACGCAGUGAACUUGAAUAAUCAUGUAGCUGUGGUGAAGAACAUGUCUUCCUCAUUGGCUUUCAAUCGUUCUUUUCCAAUAUAUUAUCCUUUUGCAACCCUACAAAUCAGUGUCGGUGUGGGAGAUGCAUUUAAUUCUAGCAAGUGUCACCAGUCUAAAGUUUCUGAGAACCUGAUUUUGGGCGAGGAUCACUUUGUUGGUUACAUUGACUCUGUAGAAGGUAUUGAAGAUGAUAAGGAAAGGCAAAGACGAAGAAAGAUAGGGUUAGCAAACAAGGGGAGAGUGCCGUGGAACAAGGGCAAGAAACAUAGUGCAGAGACUUGUCGGCGUAUCAAGCAAAGAACAAUAGAAGCUUUGAGAGACCCCAAGGUAAGGAAGAAGAUGUCUGAACAUCCACGUCCUCACAGCGAUCAUAUCAAGGCAAAAAUAAGCUCUUCACUUCGAAGUAUUUGGCAAGAGCGCUUAAAAUUGAAAUGGUCAAGAGAAAGGUUCUUCUGUUCAUGGCAAGAAAGUAUAGCAGAGGCAGCUAAGAAAGGUGAGACCGACCAGCUAGAGCUAGAAUGGGAUAGCUAUGAUAAGAUAAAACAAGAAACAGUCCUCCAACAGCAUCAGUGGGUGGUAGAAAAGGCAAAGGCAAAGCAGGUGGCAAAGGCAAGUGCAGAGAAAAUCAUUCUUUCAUGGGCAGAAAGCAUAGCAAAAGCAGCUAAGAAAGGGGCAACAAACCAGCAAGAGCUAGAUUGGGAUAGCUAUGAUAAGAUCAAACAAGAGGAAGUCUUCCGACAGCUUCAGUGGGCUGCAGAAAAGGCGAAGGCAAAGGAGAGGAAAAACAUAAGGGCAAGACUUGCUCAAAAGAGAAAAGAACUGCAAGAGAAGGCAAGAGCGAGAGGAGAGAUUCAGGUAACAAAGGAAGACAAAGAUGACUUGGCUGUUGUCCAAGAGUCAAAUCUUAAGCAGAGACUGACCAAGAUUCAUGUAAAGAAGUCCAUAAAUUAUCAACUAGCUGAUCGAGGGGACACAGUGGCUUCGCAUUUUGGAGCCCUGGAGAAAUUGAAUCUAGAACACAUAAAGAGAGAAAAGACACACAGGGAAAUUUCACUCGCUGAUCAGAUCCAAGCCAUCAGGAAGAAAAAGGAAUCCCUGGCUAGGGAAGUAGUGGCAGCUCAUACUCUGAUUACUGAUCCAAUAGAAAUAUGAGUCAGCUUUGGUUCACUGUUUAACAAACAGUAAAUCUAGAAUGUAUGAAGACAAGACCAGAAGCAGCUUUCGAGCUCCAAAUAUCAAGAUUCUGCAUGUUCCAUUGUGGUGAGUCUAUGGCUUGGAGGAAAUCACAGAACCAUAUUCUUGUUUGGGUGACCUAUGGACUAUUGUUAUGACAUUAAUUACACUAAUUAAUGUGACAGCGAGGACAACAAUUCAACAAAGACGAUGACAAUGAUUGGUGGUAUGGAAACCAUAAUAUAAAGUAAUAAUGGUGGUUUAGAGAUGACGAUAAUGGUGAUUGGUAAUGGCCCAAAAAAAGUGGUGGCAACUACACAAUGAGGAUGAAGAUGAUGAUUGGAACUUGGAUUUGGAUGUUUGAAAUUUCAGACUCUCUUAUAGCUUUUUUGUGAAUCAUCGAACUGAGGACUAACAGUGGGAUUUUGAAGUCUCUAUUGCCCCUGUUGAAAAUUUCCCUAUUCAACGUGCUUUUUGACUUCCAAUCAUACUUCUGUUUUAAGUCCCAUUGGAGAUUUUUUUAUGGGCUUUCAAAACAACUUAGAAAGUCCGUUUGUACGUACCCAGAGCUUGCCCAUGUAACGGACUUGUUCAUAAUCACUUGCGCGCAGUACUUCGAUGUUAUAAGGAUUCACGCACUAGUUCGAGCAA